UACGUAGGGUGCAAGCGUUAAUCGGAAUUACUGGGCGUAAAGCGUGCGCAGGCGGUGAUGUAAGACAGGUGUGAAAUCCCCGGGCUUAACCUGGGAACUGCAUUUGGGACUGCAUCGCUGGAGUGCGGCAGAGGGGGAUGGAAUUCCGCGUGUAGCAGUGAAAUGCGUAGAUAUGCGGAGGAACACCGAUGGCGAAGGCAAUCCCCUGGGCCUGCACUGACGCUCAUGCACGAAAGCGUGGGGAGCAAACAGG
rnacentral:rRNA from 1 species